CAAAAACUCCAAUCAAACGAAAAUACAACAAUCUGGAUGACUCCAAAAAUGGGGAACUAAAGCCCCGGAGGAAUUGGAGGCGCUUCGAACACUAGAGGAACUACUGAUGGAGCAGGAAGGAGGGAUCCAGGACGGCACUUGAUUUAUUUUUGGUACAACUUAACGCGAAUGAUUGGAAUAUAAGACUGACCCAAACCAUCUCCCAAAGUCAAAUGACAUUUUUGGAUAUCAAC